rnacentral:rRNA from 1 species
GAUGAACGCUGGCGGCGUGCCUAAUACAUGCAAGUCGAGCGAGAAGCUUGGAAAUGACGCUUCGGUUGAUUUUCCAAGCGGACAGCGGCGGACGGGUGAGUAACGCGUAGGCAACCUGCCCCUGACAGAGGGAUAGCCAUUGGAAACGAUGAUUAAAACCUCAUGACACCGUAGUAGCACAUGCUACAUCGGUCAAAGAUUUAUCGGUCAGGGAUGGGCCUGCGUCUGAUUAACUGGUUGGUGAGGUAACGGCUCACCAAGGUGACGAUCAGUAGCCGACCUGAGAGGGUGAUCGGCCACAUUGGAACUGAGACACGGUCCAAACUUCUACGGAAGGCAGCAGUAGGGAAUCUUGCACAAUGGGCGAAAGCCUGAUGCAGCAACGCCGCGUGAAGGAUGAAGGCCUUCGGGUUGUAAACUUCUGUUCUAAGGGAAGAAAGGAAUGACGGUACCUUAGGAGCAAGCCCCGGCUAACUACGUGCCAGCAGCCGCGGUAAUACGUAGGGGGCAAGCGUUAUCCGGAAUUAUUGGGCGUAAAGAGUGCGUAGGUGGUUACCUAAGCGCAAGGUUUAAAUUAGAGGCUCAACCUCUACAUGCCUUGCGAACUGGGCUACUUGAGUGCAGGAGGGGAAAGCGGAAUUCCUAGUGUAGCGGUGAAAUGCGUAGAUAUUAGGAGGAACACCGGCGGCGAAGGCGGCUUUCUGGACUGUAACUGACACUGAGGCACGAAAGCGUGGGUAGCAAACAGG